rnacentral:rRNA from 1 species
UACGUAGGGGGCUAGCGUUGUCCGGAAUCAUUGGGCGUAAAGAGCGUGUAGGCGGCCCGGUAAGUCCGCUGUGAAAGUCAGGGGCUCAACCCUUGAAUGCCGGUGGAUACUGUCGGGCUAGAGUGCGGAAGAGGAGAAUGGAAUUCCCGGUGUAGCGGUGAAAUGCGCAGAUAUCGGGAAGAACACCCGUGGCGAAGGCGGUUCUCUGGGACGGUACUGACGCUGAGACGCGAAAGCGUGGGGAGCGAACAGG